ACCUACGGGGGGCAGCAGUAGGGAAUUUUCGUCAAUGGGCGCAAGCCUGAACGAGCAAUGCCGCGUGAACGAGGAAGGUCUUCGGAUCGUAAAGUUCUGUUGAAGGGGAAAAAGAGCGGAGAGAGGAAAUGAACUCCGAUUGAUAUUACCCUUCGAGGAAGUCACGGCUAACUACGUGCCAGCAGCCACGGUAAUACGUAGGUGGCGAGCGUUAUCCGGAAUGAUUGGGAGUAAAGGGUGCGUAGGCGGCCUGCUAAGUCUGGAGUGAAAGGUACCGCCUCAACCGGUACAGGCUCUGGAAACUG
rnacentral:rRNA from 1 species